rnacentral:rRNA from 1 species
UACGUAGGGCGCAAGCGUUGUCCGGAAUUAUUGGGCGUAAAGAGCUCGUAGGCGGUCUGUUACGUCCGCUGUGAAAACCCAGGGCUUAACCCUGGGCUGGCAGUGGAUACGGGCAGACUAGAGGUAGGUAGGGGAGAAUGGAAUUCCCGGUGUAGCGGUGAAAUGCGCAGAUAUCGGGAGGAACACCGGUGGCGAAGGCGGUUCUCUGGGCAUUACCUGACGCUGAGGAGCGAAAGCAUGGGGAGCGAACAGG